rnacentral:lncRNA from 1 species
CUAGACUCAGGUUCAAGUCAGAAAGUCAAGGCAGAAUCGUCUGAGUCAGAGCCUGUUGUUAAAGCUCUAAAAAGUGUGUUCAAAUUCCUGGCUGGAGAUCUAAGAAGAGAGGAAGGAGCACAUUCAGAACUGGGGGUCACAGAAGAAACUUUAAGCCGAAAGGAGCCCUAGUGUGUGGAAUGGCACUUGCAGGAAGCAGCUGGCAUUAGGAUCAUUUAUCAUCUGUUGUCAGUGCUGUUCUCUGACCUGGAGCUUGGAGGCCCGGCUAUUGUAAACCCACAGAAGAAAACUCAAAACUUAUGCAGAAUUAUUGAUUGUUUUCUCCACCCAGAAGAAAUUGUUUUUCCUGGAAAGUCAGCCAUAUGGUGCCACAGAGGUGGAAGGCACCACACCCCUCUAAGGAAUGCUCCACUUCUGACCAACUCCUUUCACAUCGGCAACUGUUGCCACGGUUCUUGUCUGAGACCCCAGAGAGCUGUUCUGAAUUGUCUCUUGGAUUCAUCCGGGCACCCUUCCAUUACUGUUGGCUUCUAGUAGUCAUGGAAAUUACAAGUUGUCCUGUUUAGUGUGGCAGCUGGAAUGCUUCUCUCUCUUCUCGACUGUCUAGAGCCUCAACUGGGAAGAUUCAGCGACUAAGAUGACUUAACAGAUGGGGCUGGAAUCAUCUGAAUGUUUCCUUUAACGAUUUCCUUUCGUAGAAGAAACCCUCAAAUUUGGCAGCUGUAUGCUUCAUAUUUGGAGUCUCUACAUCCAUACUCAAUCUUCUCAAUAUCAGCUUAAGAUUUUUCUUCUCUGCCAUUAAAAAAAUCUUUGUCGUCAUCAGUCACUACCGUGUUUAUCCAGCCAUUGUGUGGAACAGUUUGGAUCUGAGAGGACCCAGAUAAGCUUCCUGAAGUCUUAACCUUCUCUCCC